AUGAACGUUGGCGGCGUGGAUUAGGCAUGCAAGUCGAGCGAGAACCCCGCAAGGGGGGACAGCGGCGAAAGGGACAGUAAUGUGUAGAUUAUCUGCCCUCAGGUCCGGGAUAGCUGCGGGAAACUGCAGGUAAUACCGGAUAACAUCUCCGGAUCAAAGGUGUGAUUCCGCCUGAGGAUGAGUCUGCAUCCUAUUAGCUAGUUGGUGGGGUAAUGGCCUACCAAGGCAUUGAUGGGUAGCAGGUGUGAGAGCACGACCUGCGUCAUUGGGACUGAGACACUGCCCAGACACCUACGGGUGGCUGCAGUCGAGAAUCUUCGGCAAUGGGCGCAAGCCUGACCGAGCGACGCCGCGUGUGGGAUGAAGGCCUUCGGGUUGUAAACCACUGUCAGAGGGGAUGAAAUGCAGGUGGGUGCUCCCAUCUGUUUGACAUAGCCUCAGAGGAAGGACGGGCUAAGUUCGUG
rnacentral:rRNA from 1 species